ACACUCCUACGGGAGGCAGCAGUGGGGAAUUUUGGACAAUGGGCGAAAGCCUGAUCCAGCAAUGCCGCGUGAAGGAUGAAGGCCUUCGAGUUGUAAACUGCUUUUGUACGGAACGAAAAAGCUCCUUCUAAUACAGGGGGCCCAUGACGGUACCGUAAGAAUAAGCACCGGCUAACUACGUGCCAGCAGCCGCGGUAAUACGUAGGGUGCGAGCGUUAAUCGGAAUUACUGGGCGUAAAGCGUGCGCAGGCGGUUAUGUAAGACAGAUGUGAAAUCCCCGGGCUCAACCUGGGAACUGCAUUUGUGACUGCAUGGCUAGAGUACGGUAGAGGGGGAUGGAAUUCCGCGUGUAGCAGUGAAAUGCGUAGAUAUGCGGAGGAACACCGAUGGCGAAGGCAAUCCCCUGGACCUGUACUGACGCUCAUGCACGAAAGCGUGGGGAGCAAACAGGAUUAGAUACCCCGGUAGUCCC
rnacentral:rRNA from 1 species